GACGAACGCUGGCGGCGUGCUUAACACAUGCAAGUCGAAGGAGUGGCGAACGGGUGAGUAACACGUGAGUAACCUGCCCCUUCUUUUGGAUAACCGCAUGAAAGGGUGGCUAAUACAGGAUAGUGGGGGUUGGGCUCGCGGCCUAUCAGCUUGUUGGUGGGGUGAUGGCCUACCAAGGCGGGGACGGGUAGCCGGCCUGGGAGGGUGGGCGGUCACACUGGGACUGAGAUACGGCCCAGACUCCAACGGGAGGCAGCAGUGGGGGAUUGUGCACAAUGGGCGCAAGCCUGAUGCAGCAACGCCGCGUGAGUGAUGACGGCCUUCGGGUUGUAAAGCUCUGUUAAUCGGGACGCGGUACCGGAAUAGAAAGCAACGGCUAACUACGUGCCAGCCGCCGCGGUAAUAC
rnacentral:rRNA from 1 species